rnacentral:sRNA from 1 species
CAGAAAUGAAGGUAUUGAUUGACAGGUGAACAGAAAUGAAGAUAUUGAUUGACAGGGGAACAGAAAUGAAGGUAUUGACUGACAGGUGAACAGAAAUGAAGAUAUUGAUUGACAUGUGAACAGAAAUGAAGGUAUUGAUUGACAGGUGAACACAAAUGAAGAUAUUGAUUGACAGGUGAAC